UGUUCUGUGACUUAGUUGUUUAAAGCACCGGUCUAGCGAAGACGGGUCGUGGGUUUGAAUCCCACCAGAACGC
rnacentral:tRNA from 1 species